GGGGACGAUUUGGAUUUGACAGGAUGAUUGGUAACGGUAUUCGGCGAGUCGGGGUGCUGUUCCCCGUUAUCAACAAGCAACUGGUAUAAAUGCCAACAACAACGUAGUUGCCUUAAGACCUAGCAACGUUAUCGAAGUAGACUUCGCCGCUCGCGCGCGCAAAGCUGCCUAGAUAAACCACUGCUAGGUUGUCCGUUCACUGCCACGCAGUGCGGUCGGCCCCAGCCAACGCUCCAGCAUGCCGAGCCUGGCUGGCCCUGAUGUAUGCUAGCGCACCCCGAGGACACGUGAGGGUUCGCGAAACUUUCGUGUCGGCCCCGGCGGGGGUUUAAUCACGCUUGGUGCAGGUUUUAGCGCCGGUGCGACACUGGCCUGCAUGACGAUAAUUCACACCUACACUCGUAGAUGACUACUGGUUGCCCAUUUUGGACGCGGGUUCGACUCCCGCCGUCUCCACCA
rnacentral:tmRNA from 1 species